GGACCCGCACAAGCAGUGGAGCAUGUGGUUUAAUUCGAAGAUACGCGCAGAACCUUACCAACACUUGACAUGUUCGUCGCGAGACUAAGAGAUUAGUCUUUUCAGUUCGGCUGGACGAAACACAGGUGCUGCAUGGCUGUCGUCAGCUCGUGUCGUGAGAUGUUGGGUUAAGUCCCGCAACGAGCGCAACCCCCUACUUUUUAGUUGCCAGCACAUAAUGGUGGGAACUCUAAGGAGACUGCCGGUGACAAAACCGGAGGAAGGUGGGGACCGACGUCAAGUCAUCAUGGCCCUUACGGCCUGGGCUACACACGUGCUACAAUGGCUAGGACAGACGGCUGCAAAACCAGCGAUGGGG
rnacentral:rRNA from 1 species